AGGUAAUGAUGAUGGGCAGCAGCUGGUGCAGGUGUGACCCGAGCCACACCUAUAACACCUUCACUCUUGACCGUGACGGACAGAUGUGUGUCGUUAAUGCUGUGUCUCUGAUCUUAAAGAUAAAUUCACCUCUGCUCGGACUAUGGGGCACUGAGAAG